AGACUUUUCCAGCUUUGACGUCUCCGUCCCAUAGAUCGAGAAUCUCCUGGCGUUUUGCAAUCCUGUUUGGUAUCAACCAGUUCUCUCUGUCAGAUUUACCAGGAAUCGAUCAGAUAUGAACUGGGUUCAACGCAAAAUCUACCUUUAUAAUGUCACAUUCGGGCUCUACAUGCUUGAUUGGUGGGAACGAUAUCUCUUCAAUUCUUUGGUGGUAGUUUUGAUGUGGUUCGUUAUAUACAACGGUACUCGCUACUUUUCGGAGCUUUUCCAGAGGCAUUUGACAUGAAAACAGGUCUUGUUUCUUGCACAGUAGAGCACCAAAAAGCCUGGAACCUUCAAAGGCAUGCAUGUUUGGUUUCAAUUCUGAGACGUAUACCAGCAAAAUCCCCUUUUUCGGCAUCACCUCUCAUUUUGUCAAUUUUCCUCCAAAGGCUCUAGGACUGUUCGUAUGUCUCUGUAUUAUUUGUUUCCAGGUUUUUGCAAUUAACAGAAAUGAUUUGUAGACGCGUAAGAUCGCAAGUCUUCCUGUUGUAUUUCCAAAUCACUUUGAGACAUGAUCUAAGCAUACUUCUUUG